rnacentral:tRNA from 1 species
GAGGUUUAGCUCAGCUGGUUAGAGCGCCUGCUUCACACGCAGGAGGUCGCUGGUUCGAGUCCAGUAGUCUCC